UCAGCAGCCGCGGUAAGACAGAGGUGGCUAGCGUUGUUCGGAUUUAUUGGGCGUAAAGCGAACGCAGGUGGUUUGGUAAGUCAGGGGUGAAAGUCCGCAGCUUAACUGCGGCACUGCCUCUGAUACUGCCUUUCUUGAGUGCAUGAGGGGGAAGCGGAAUUCCGAGUGUAGAGGUGAAAUUCGUAGAUAUUCGGAGGAACACCGGUGGCGAAGGCGGCUUCCUGGCAUGUAACUGACACUCAUGUUCGAAAGCGUGGGUAGCAAACAGGAUUAGAUACCCUGGUAGUCCACGCCCUAAACGAUGGGCACUAGGUGUGGGAGGUAUCGACCCCUUCCGUGCCGCAGCUAACGCAUUAAGUGCCCCGCCUGGGGAGUACGGCCGCAAGGUUGAAACUCAAAGGAAUUGACGGGGGCCCGCACA
rnacentral:rRNA from 1 species